rnacentral:rRNA from 1 species
UACGUAGGGUGCGAGCGUUAAUCGGAAUUACUGGGCGUAAAGCGUGCGCAGGCGGUUUUGUAAGUCCAGAUGUGAAAUCCCCCGGGCUUAACCUGGGAAUGGCAUUUGGGACUGCAAGGCUGGAGUGCGGCAGAGGAGACGUGGAAUUCCUGGUGUAGCAGUGAAAUGCGUAGAUAUCAGGAGGAAUACCGAUGGGCGAAGGCAGGACUCUGGGCUGUCGACGUGACGCUGACCAAGUCACG